UCAAAAGGCAAAUUUGCCUUUGUCACCAAAAAGUUUAGGAAAAAAAUGACAGGAAAAACAGCAAAGGAAAAGUAAACAAAAGGGAAUUCAAAAAAGGCUGCAGGGGGACUUUUCACUAGGGUGUGGAGUGACAGGAAAAGGGGGAAUGGCCUUAAGCUGAAGGAAGGCAGGGCUGGAUGGGAUAUUGGGAAUUAGGAAUUGUUCCUUGGGAGGGUGGACAGGGGCUGGAAUUCCCAGAGCAGCUGUUGCUGCCCCUGGAUCCCUGGCAGUGCCCAAGGCCAGGUUGGAUUUUUUCUUGGAGCAGCCUGGGACAGUGUAAGGUGUCCCUGUCUGGAACAAGAUGACCCCUAAGGUCCCUUCCAGCCUCAACCAUCCCAUGAUUCCAUGACAAUAUUCCCGUUUAUCACACUUCCAGGACUCUUGCCAUGUCAUUAAACACAGCCCUUCCACCAGACCAGGCUGAUCAAGCUGUGAUCCUUGGCUGCCCCUCCUUGCAAUCCUCAUUUUCAGCUGUCCCUCAGCUGAAAGAUGCCCUGAAUUUCUCCUCUUGGUGUUGUCCAGGUGCAGCCCAAACCCAGCUCUGCUGAGCUUCCUCGUCAAGCCCAGCUUGUCAGGAUUUCUUUGUAAAUCAGCUUUUGUUAAUUGUUCUGCAUUAACAAGGUUCCCUCUCAAAUCAGAUUGCUCUGCCAAGAGAACAGAGGGAUCCUGUGAGUGCUCUGUGCUCCCCUUCUGAGUUUUAUUUUUAUAUAUAUAUAUGUAUAUUUAUAUUUAUUUUUAUAUAUUUAUAUAUACACACACACACGUUUUUGUACAGAUACAAAAGGUAGCCUGAAAAUUCAGAUUUCAUUCCAAGUUUUCCAUGGCUGCUCUUUGCCAUGCCAGCAAUGGGAAGCAAGCAUGGGUUCCGGGAACUGGGGAAAUCAGGUGUAAAGCUGUUUUAAAUCUAAACAAAUGUAAAAGAUGUCAGGAAGUGUGGCUGGGUUAGUCCCUGAAAUUCUUACAAGAGAUUUAAUCUUGUAAUCAAAGUCACCGGCUGAUAAUAUCAAAUACCAGGCUUAAAAUAUGAUUUUAAAACAAUUCUGACACCAAGUUCUUGAGAAAUCAUUAAGAAUGUUUGGCUUGGAGUCAGCCUGUCCCCUUGCCUCCCUGCAGAAUGUCACUUUAUAAUUUCCUAUUUUAUUUCACACCCAAUCCUCCUCAACUUAAUGAUUUUAUCAGGCAGAGAGGGGGAAAUGAAAUGCUGGAAGCCACCAUGAAAAAAUUCCUGCCUGAUGGAACAGUGUUGAAAUCACUGACUUAACACCAGGUGGAAAAUGGGAUCUACAAGGCUGCAGGACAAUUCCUAAGGGCCAUGAAAUCCUAAUUUUUUGAAGGCAUGGGUUAUGGAUUAUGGAAUAUUAAGAAUAAUUUUCAAAAUACUUCAUAAACACUGGCUAAUCAUUCUCUACAGCUCCUCUGUGAGCUCCAUCUGUUGUAGAACUGUUCAGAAAAAAUUCUCAUUUAUUAACAGCCCUGAUAAUUUAUUUGCAUGACUUUUCAUCAAAGAAUAUUCACUUGGAAGAGAAAAAGGAAACUUGAGGCAAAGGAGAGCAGCAGCAGAAUGUCUUGGAAAGCCCUGAGAAAACAGAGAAAACUGAAAAGCAAGGUGAGACCUUCACCUGCAGCCAAAUUCUGCCCAAAAAUUGUUUCCCUGACCUCAGCAGAUCCAAGGAGAGAAGAGGCUGGAGGAUUUCCCAACAAACCUGCAAAGGUGCUCCUGGAGGAGAUCCUUGGCUGGGGAAAGCUGCCACAGGCAGCAGAGCAACCUGGAUUUAUGGCGCUGGAUGAUGCAGCAUUGUAUUUGCUGGGAAUGUCCAAAUGAAGGCAGGAAGGAAUGAUGAAUCUGACUCUGUGUUUUCAGAAGGCUAAUUUAUUAUUUUAUAAUACUAUAUUAUAUUAAAGAAUAGUAAAGAAUACAGAAAGGAUACUUACUCAAUGCUAAAAAGAUAAUAAUGAAAACUCGUGACUCUUUCCAGAGUCUCGACAGAG